rnacentral:rRNA from 1 species
AGCAGCCGCGGUAAUUCCAGCUCCAAUAGCGUAUAUUAAAGUUGUUGCAGUUAAAAAGCUCGUAGUUGAAUUUCGGAAUUUGUCGGUUGGUCGGGCUUCACUGUCCGCACUGGCCUGAUGGAUUCCUACCUUCUGAAUAACCAGCAUGCUAUUAAGUUAGUGCGUUGGGGAAGCAGAGCUAUUACCUUGAAAAAAUUAGAGUGCUUAAAGCAGGCUCACGCUUGGAUAGAUUAGCAUGGAAUAAUAAAAUAGGACGGCAUGGUUCUAUUUUGUUGGUUUCUAGGAUCACCGUAAUGAUUAAUAGGGAUAGUUGGGGGCAUUAGUAUUCAAUUGUCAGAGGUGAAAUUCUUGGAUUUAUUGAAGACUAACUUCUGCGAAAGCAUUUGCCAAGGAUGUUUUCAUUAAUCAAGAACGAAAGUUAGGGGAUCGAAGACGAUCAGAUACCGUCGU